ACUUCGGGUGUUUCUAAUUUGGGUUGAUUAUUGAUAUCGUUAUGAUAUUUACGCCCUGCGUUUCCACUCUUUUACUUGCCACAACGUUGCACCUGCACUCGGUUUGUGUGGCCGGAAGAUUGAAGACGUACCUCCAAUGACAGCAGAGUUUCGAUCGACGGCAUUGCCGCCGGACGAUUCCUCGCUGAAAGGAGAAGCGGCUCCGACUGCGGGCAAAGCGAACACGGAAAAGUCGGAAGUCGAUCGUGUACCUCGUGAGUGGUUCGUGUACGGGCCUGCGUCCCUACCGGUUUCUACGUGCCAGGGGUCAUUCGCUGCCAGGGAAGAGAGAGUCAAAGGAGAGGCUCCGCAAUUGGACGGGACCAGAAUCCCGUGGGUGCCGACGGGCGCCGCCUGGCCAGAGCGCAGGGCGGCUUUGAGUGGUGCCACACUGUUCAGCUGAACUCUUGAGAGGCAGCCCACGAAGCCCGGUGUGUUGUAGCGCUCGAUCAAGAUCGGGUCAAUCUGUCCCGUUUC